rnacentral:tRNA from 1 species
GGACUGUAGCUCAGUUGGCAGAGUGCUUGCCUCUGACAUACAAGGCCCUGGGUUCAAUCCCCAGCACCA